AGUGAAUAGAUACCCCGGUAGUCCACGCUGUAAACGAUGCGAACUAGGUGUUGGUAGUAUUAAACCUAUCAGUGCCGAAAGCUAAACGCGAUAAGUUCGCCGCCUGGGGACUACGGCCGCAAGGCUAAAACUCAAAGGAAUUGACGGGGGCCCGGCACAAGCAGCGGAGCGUGUGGUUUAAAUUCGAUGCAACACGAAGAACCUUACCUGGGCUUGACAUGGUCGUAGUAGUGAAGCGAAAGCGGAACGAGCCUUCGGGCAGCGAUCACAGGUGCUGCAUGGCUGUCGUCAGCUCGUGUCGUGAGAUGUUGGGUUAAGUCCCGCAACGAGCGCAACCCUCGCUACUAGUUACAUGUGUCUAGUGGGACUGCCGGAGUCAAACCGGAGGAAGGUGGGGAUGACGUCAAGUCAGCAUGGCCUUUAUGUCCAGGGCUACACACACGCUACAAUGGCCGGUACAAUGAGUUGCUAAACCGCGAGGUGGCGCUAAUCUCAUCAAAGCCGGGUCUCAGUUCGGAUUGCAGGCU
rnacentral:rRNA from 1 species